UGAGCACAUACGCUAAUGUUAUAUAGGUACUACUGAGUUAAAUAAAAUGUAACUUAACUAAAAUGUAACUUUCUGUUUAUAAAAAGGAAAAUGAAAAAUUGUAUAAUCAAGUGAAAGAUCUCCAAGAACAAAACAAAAAUGAGGAGUGAAUGUUCAAGGAAAACCAGAGCUUAUUCAGCAAAUUAGUUUCCUUAAAGAAUAUCAAGAAAGAGAAAACCGGUUUAUUGGAAGACCUGAAAAGACUGAAGCAAGACAAGCAAGCUCUUGACGCAGACUUGGGAAAAGUGAAGAGAGAGAGACCAAGCCAGAGAGCAGCAAUAACUGCAAGAUUGAAGAAACUCAAAGAUUAUUUUGAAUUCAUGGCAUUGUGUGCGCAGCAGUUUGCAGUCCUCCCAGCCAGACCUGGAUCUUCCAGGGCCUGGUCACCCUUUUUAUCCCUGGGCCUGAAAUGUAACCUCUCAAGUGUUUGACAAAUGAACAGACAACACCGUGCUAUGUUUGUAGAAGACACGAGGGUGAAUAUGGCAUUCCUCACUGGGAAAAACAAAGGAGGGGUAAGCUAAAAAUGCAGAAAAGUUUAAUACUAAAAAAAUUAGAAAUAAACAAGAAGGUGCUAGUAAGGGUUUCAGGGAGAAGAAGCAUUUGAGCUGGGUCCUGGCAGGUGGAGGGCCUCGGGAGGGGAGGAGGGAGGCCGCGCAGCUGUGUCUCAUGGGCGUGUCACUGAGCGCACCUGUCCUGGGCCAGAGGAGGGCAGGGCACAGGGCCGGAAAGGUCGAUCGAAGGAGCCCUUGUUUGCCAAAGGAAGGGUCUUUUCUCUGUGAUUGUAUGAUCUUCAGUGUAAGACACAUACAAGUAAAAUCCACUAACCUGUUUGUAAGAAAUGUACUUCCCUCAUCUAUAAAGUAGAAUAAUAAUCAUCACUCCCAUCAUGUAUUUGUUGUGUUAAAUAAAAUCAUACAAACUGUGAGAAUUCCGACUGUGAACACAGCCUUCUUUUACUAACACACUAGACUGUACACAACCUUCCUACAUCCUUUUUUUUUUUUUGCCUCUUAUUUUUUCAUAAUACUUUCAUUAGAUAGGCAUUGGUUUUCAUGUGAAAU
rnacentral:lncRNA from 1 species